AAGUCCACAGCCUAUUGAUUUAUGUCUCUCUUACAGUAAAACUUUAACAGUUAGUUUAAACAUUAAAAGAGAAAUAUAAAAAUUUAACAUAAGUAACGUUUUGACAUUUUUAGCAGUGUGAUGUCCUCAUGCGAACUUCCCACAGGUGCAUAUAUUUAACAACCAAAUCAAUAAUGCAUACAGAAAUACUGUAGUAGUGCUGCUGCCAUUGCAACGUCAGCAUAAGCAGCUUAUACUUAGAGUAGCAGCAGAGGGGAGAAAUAGAUGGAUGGAGACAAUGAUGGAGAUGAAAUGAGGAAGAUCAAUUAAGUGGUUCCAACGAUUAUAUGUAACUAUGAGUGCAAUUAUGGAUCUAUAUAACCAACUGCAGUCUGUCAAAAAUAAUGACGGCUCAGCAUUUGGAUGUGAUUACCAACACAGUGCAUCAUGCAGAGGACGCAACGAAGGAAUGAAACUGGAAAAUAGAUUGAGACUGCAGGUUGUCACUGUAAACCCCCAAAAGUAAGAAGAUCAUGAGAGUGAGCAGAAGUAGGGUCACUGAGUUGCUCCAUAUUUACACCAACUGAAAUCCAUAGGUGUUGAGAAACACGCAACUGGGCACAACAAACCACUGGCCAAACAGCAAGUCUCCUCCACUGCUCCUCCAUAUGACCACUGUUUCCGUAUGCCUGCACACGCUUCCUCGCUGCAUAUUUACAGGCACAUGCUGUCGGAAGUAAAGACAACCGCAGUGUCAACAGGCAGAAAGAAAGCAGCAAGACUCAGAAAGAGGGAAGAAGGAGAGAUAAGACAGAGGAAACAGAUCCAGUAUAAAUCACUAUGCUUGACAGAUUUGGAGAAUGCAGAGUGAUGAGUCCAAUGAGAAAGAAUCAAUGAACGACACAGAGAGGAGAGAGGGAGGAUGGUGGAAAAAAAAGAGUGAAGGCAGAAGAAGUGGUGAACAGGUUUUCUGUUUGUGUGUGUGUGUGUAUGUGGACAAAUUUCUGCCGCAUAUUGAGAAAGUGAGAGCUUAUGUAUCACACUGUUUUCGUAUGCAGAUCAGUUGGUGUCACAAUCAUCACUGUAUGUUUAUUUAUGUGAAUAUACAGUGCUGUCACAUAGCACUUCCAUCUCUGGCACUCAUGUUGAAGGGUUGCAGCUGGUCAGCAUUUACCGUGGUUGCUUGGAGGAAAAAAAAGCCAACACCCAAGGUUGUUCAACUUUAAUAAAACCUUAAACUUUUGUGCUUCUGAUUUUUAUCCGUUU